AUGCUUCCAACUAGAGAUCUGUGGGUGUUUACUACAGUUUAGCAACUUUCUUUCAUAAAGAAAUGCCCAGUAAACCUCUUCUUGGACCACAGCCAGGUAAAAAUGGUCUCAUAGUCCUGUUUUGUGUAAGUGCUCUUGAUUGCCUUCAAAGAAGGUGAAUCUCCUCAAACCUAAGGGUGUUCAGUUGGGGAAGAGGUGACUGUGUGUGGUGACGGCCCCAGAGGACAGAAUAUUAAUAAUGUAGUUGAUAACCUUCAACACAGGUCGUGGCACUUUACUGGGAAAAGAGAUUUGUGGCAGUCCUUAUUUCUCAGGAGUCUCUGCUUUUACUCAGGUAGGGGAAGCUCUGCAAAGCCUUCUUUCUGUGUCUGUUGAAUCCCAAACGUCUUCAGCUUAAGAUAAUUUUCAUGCCAAAGUGGAGUAUUUUAGGGCAGCAUAUUCUGAUCCUCUUCAAAACCGUGUCAACCUAGAGGUUCUAGAUUUUAUGUGGAAUCUGGAAAGAGCAGUGCUUGGGUGGAUCUGAUUUAUAAUUUCUUACUGCUUAGUGGGCAGAAUAUAGUACGUGAUGCAAUAAC
rnacentral:lncRNA from 1 species